rfam:Gossypium arboreum cultivar AKA8401 contig_113735_1, whole genome shotgun sequence.
AAUCCAUGGUGUGGGCAUAUCUGAAUUAGAAUUUUAAAACACUCCCAAGCUUCAUGAAAACUUUCUCCUUGUAAUUGUUUGAACGUUGCAAUCUCCCUUCUUGGUU